rnacentral:rRNA from 1 species
AUUGAACGCUGGCGGAAUGCUUUACACAUGCAAGUCGAACGGCAGCACGGGGGCAACCCUGGUGGCGAGUGGCGAACGGGUGAGUAAUACAUCGGAACGUGCCCGGUCGUGGGGGAUAACGUAGCGAAAGUUACGCUAAUACCGCAUACGAUCUGAGGAUGAAAGCGGGGGACCUUCGGGCCUCGCGCGAUCGGAGCGGCCGAUGUCAGAUUAGGUAGUUGGUGGGGUAGAGGCCUACCAAGCCGACGAUCUGUAGCUGGUCUGAGAGGACGACCAGCCACACUGGGACUGAGACACGGCCCAGACUCCUACGGGAGGCAGCAGUGGGGAAUUUUGGACAAUGGGCGCAAGCCUGAUCCAGCCAUUCCGCGUGCAGGACGAAGGCCUUCGGGUUGUAAACUGCUUUUGUAUGGAACGAAAAGGCUCUGGCUAAUACCUGGGGCUCAUGACGGUACCGGAAGAAUAAGCACCGGCUAACUACGUG